ensembl:lncRNA
UUUUUUUUUUUUUUAAGGGCCUACUAAAUUUCCCCUAGGGGCUCAAUAAAGUACUUCUAUUCUAUGGCACCUCCAGCCACCUUCAGUCAUGCUCCACGGGCAGCAUAGGCUUGCAGCAACUUCCCUUAUUCACCACCACCAGUGUCUCGACUCCAGGGGGGAUUCUGUUGGAGCAGGACUUGGCAUUGCGGCCCCUUGAUUAUCCGGUUUGGGUUCAAAGACAUGCACAAUUCCAAUGUGACCGAUGGCGACUGGGGAAAGCAGUAUUAAGCUGAAGAGAACGAUGUUUGUUGUAACAGCUACUGUAGCAUGUACAUAUUUUGUAAUAUGUUACUGUUGAAUUAGUUCGUAUCACAUGCAAGAAAAAAAGUCUGCAUACAAGCUAAUAAACGUGUUUGCUGCUGUUUUUUUUCUUGACUCUUGAUUUAUUUACUGAUUUCUUUGCAAUAUUACCUCUAGCUAAAAUUGAAUGACUUAUCCAUUUUAAUUUUAAAUUACUGGAAAAUAUUCUUAUCAAAAC